UACGGAGGGAGCUAGCGUUGUUCGGAAUUACUGGGCGUAAAGCGCACGUAGGCGGCUAUUCAAGUCGGGGGUGAAAGCCCGGGGCUCAACCCCGGAAUUGCCCUCGAAACUAGAUAGCUAGAAUCUUGGAGAGGCGAGUGGAAUUCCGAGUGUAGAGGAGAAACUCGUAGAUAUUCGGAAGAACACCAGUGGCGAAGGCGACUCGCUGGACAAGUAUUGACGCUGAGGUGCGAAAGCGUGGGGAGCAAGCAGG
rnacentral:misc_RNA from 1 species